AAGGAUCAUUAACGAUUUCGUAGCUGGGCUUCGGCCCUGUCUGCACCCUUGUCUUUUGCGUACCCAUUGUUUCCUCGGCGGGCUUGCCUGCCGAUAGGACAUUGUAAAACCACUUGUAAUUGCAAUCAGCGUCAGUAAAACAAACAAUAUUAAAACUUUCAACAACGGAUCUCUUGGUUCUG
rnacentral:misc_RNA from 1 species